rnacentral:lncRNA from 1 species
UAAAUUAGGCCACAAUUAAAAAUAUUUUGGUUUGCCCAAACCCUACCCAAGGUUGAGACAGUGGGUAGGUAGGUAGGCAUUUUCUUUUUUUUUUUCAAAAAAAGAAAUUGAAGCAUCAGGUGUUUAUUAAUCUUCAUGACUAUUUGAUUUAAAAAAAAAAACUUCUUCAAAUCAGGACAAUAAAAGAAUUUGAGUAGGCAGCUUUUUUCUGGGUAGGUAGGGUUUGGGCAAACAAACCUAUUCUUUUUUAUGGCCUUA